rnacentral:tRNA from 1 species
GCGGUGGUGGUGGAAUGGCAGACACGUACGCUUGAGGGGCGUAUGAGCUUGGCUCGUGUGGGUUCGAAUCCCAUUCACCGCA